rnacentral:sRNA from 1 species
CGCCCGGUCAUUGGGGAGUAGUCGCGCUGCCGUCUUAAUAAACGGCGGUGGCUUGCGUCAACACACUUGGCCCACAGGCCAUGGCGCAAGCGGUUUCCACGCCUGGCAAGACCUUUGACCACGAUGCCUCCGACCUGGCCGGGGAUGCGUCGUGGUCAACCGUCCCGCUUCCGGCCAUU